UACGAAGGGGGCUAGCGUUGUUCGGAAUUACUGGGCGUAAAGAGCGCGUAGGCGGUUUGUUAAGUUGGAAGUGAAAGCCCGAGGCUUAACCUCGGAAUUGCUUUCAAAACUAAUAAACUAGAGAGUGGUAGAGGAUGGUGGAAUUCCUAGUGUAGAGGUGAAAUUCGUAGAUAUUAGGAGGAACACCGGUGGCGAAGGCGGCCAUCUGGGCCAUUUCUGACGCUGAGGCGCGAAAGCGUGGGGAGCAAACAGG
rnacentral:rRNA from 1 species